rnacentral:rRNA from 1 species
AUUGAACGCUGGCGGCAGGCCUAACACAUGCAAGUCGAGCGGAUGAAGGGAGCUUGCUCCUGGAUUCAGCGGCGGACGGGUGAGUAAUGCCUAGGAAUCUGCCUGGUAGUUGGGGAUAACGUCCGGAAACGGGCGCUAAUACCGCAUACGUCCUGAGUGAGAAAGUGGGGGAUCUUCGGACCUCACGCUAUCAGAUGAGCCUAGGUCGGAUUAGCUAGUUGGUGGGGUAAAGGCCUACCAAGGCGACGAUCCGUAACUGGUCUGAGAGGAUGAUCAGUCACACUGGAACUGAGACACGGUCCAGACUCCUACGGGAGGCAGCAGUGGGGAAUAUUGGACAAUGGGCGAAAGCCUGAUCCAGCCAUGCCGCGUGUGUGAAGAAGGUCUUCGGAUUGUAAAGCACUUUAAGUUGGGGGGAAGGGCAGUAAGUUAAUACCUUGCUGUUUUGACGUUACCAACAGAAUAAGCACCGGCUAACUUCGUG